rnacentral:rRNA from 1 species
CGUAGGGUGCGAGCGUUAAUCGGAAUUACUGGGCGUAAAGCGUGCGCAGGCGGUUUGCUAAGACAGGUGUGAAAUCCCCGGGCUUAACCUGGGAACUGCGCUUGUGACUGGCAGGCUAGAGUACGGCAGAGGGGGGUGGAAUUCCUGGUGUAGCAGUGAAAUGCGUAGAGAUCAGGAGGAACACCGAUGGCGAAGGCAGCCCCCUGGGCCUGUACUGACGCUCAUGCACGAAAGCGUGGGGAGCAAACAGGAUU